UAAUAAUUUUUUUUUUUUUUUUUUUUGAUGCCAAAUUUGGAUGGAGGAUAUUAUCCUUUGCCCUUUCUUUGCCCUUGUAUCUAGAGGUGUUAUUGUUGUGUUUGUGAUUGAUAAAAAAUGCAAAAAGUCUGAAAAGAUUUUAGUUUAGUUUGAAUUAAGAAACAUGGACCUAGACGCAGACAUGGGAUGUGGUCAACAUGCAACCACAUGCAACACGAACACAAUGACAAGUUAUUUUCUAAGCAAUUUGGAGUUAGGACACAAAAUUUGUUUGGCGGAAGUUUACAAGGGUCUCGUGCCUACAGUGUUUGACAAAUGCUCUGAACAUAUUAUAUUUAUGUUCAGACAAGUGCCCGCCACAUGCCUACAGCGCUCAAUGAGCGUUUGGCAGUUGUGGAAUUCUUUACAAAUAUUUCUAACGUUAAGAGCGUUUGAUGAAUGUCACUGCAGAGAUUAUUUAUGUGGUUUUAUUUGAUUUCGAGAUUGGUCACUGCAGAGACAAUCGGCUUGAAAUUAUUACGUUCUCGAUCUGUUAAUUGUGAUUAUAUGUUAUAUUUAUCGGAUAUUGGACUCCUUUUCUACUACUAGUGUAAUGUUUAUUUGGAGAUUUGGAAGGAUGUUUAUCUCAAGAAAUUCAAGGUCUUUUCCAUUUAUUUUCAUGCCCCUUUGCUUCCCACUUUUGGGUUUAUAUAGUGGAUACUUUUGGCUGGUCUUUUGUUGUGCCUCUCUACCGUUUUUGGCUGGUCUUUUGUUGUGCCUUUCUGCCUUUCUACCUGAAAAUUUUGCAAAUGUCUUUUGUCUCGAAAAUGUUUUUGUGGGCUACCCUUUUUAUGGUUCCAAGAAGAUGUCGUGGCUUGCGUUUUCCUAGAUUCUUUUGGAGAGAUUCUUUUGGAGCGGAGAAUUUGAGCAAAGAGUAGUUGGGGGGUUUAUAGAAUUUGAAAGUGAGAACUCCUUUGUUUGAUGUAACUAUUUGAGCCGGAUGAAAUGAACGUACGAUUGUGAAAGGGGAGAUCCUAUAGUAUCCUAUCCAAAAUUUUCUUUUGGUUGGCCCAUAGCUAAAAAUUACUUUCUUACGAUUACGGGGUUGAGCGUAGUCUUUCAUCAUUAAUUAAUAAUUAGAUAAGUUCCGGUGAUUGGGGGGGUUUCUACUUGAAUUUUUUCUCUUCUAAAAUUCACUACUAUGUAUUGUUAUUAUAAUAUGAUUUCUGUCUUGCUUUUCAGGUAGUCUGCCAUCAUACUUUGGUUGGUUUAGCCCACCUGCCCACCCCAUACCAUUCAUUCAUACGGGCCGACUUCAAGAGUUGAACCCAGUCUGGAGGCCUUUUGUAUUUUAAACCGGGUAUCUCUCUCCUCCAAACCCUAAAACUCCGAACCCGCCGCCCCGCCUCUCUACAUCUCUCUCCGUCUCUCCAAACCCUAGUAGUAGAAGAUAGUGAAGAUGAAUAAUCCAUCAGCUGGGUCGUCCUCAAAGCAAAGAACUGGAUCAUCUCAACCCUCUGAAACUUCUUUUAAGCGCAAGAGAGGGGUUUGUCAGAAACAAUUGCAGCACAUGAUGUAUGGUUUUGGAGAUGACGCCGGGAAAUCCGCUUGGAACUCCGCCGGCAAUAUCCGCUCGGAACUCCGCCGGCAAUAUCCUACAAGAACGAGAACAGAGAGAAGGGAUCCAGAUCCAGACCCGACCGGCUCAAAUCUGACCCAGCGGAUAGCCCAGAUCUUUGGGCUGCCCGGCCCAGCGGAUAGCCCAGAUCCGUGGGCUGCCCGGCCCACUACGACAAGGCUAGGUCCGUGGGCUGCCCGGCCCACUACGACAAGCCCAGGUCCGUGAGGUGACCCGGCCCACUACGACAAGGCUAGGUCCGUGGGCUGACCCGGCCCACUACGACAAUCCCAGGUCCGUGAGGUGACCCGACCCACUACGACUGCCCCGAUCCGACCCGCUUAACACUGCUCAAUACAGGUCAGUUUGUUUAUUGUGGGAGAUGGUUCGAUCUUCUGUAACUCGUCUGUCUAUCUGUAGGCAAAAAUUACGGGGACGGUUUGGACUCGUGGCGCUACCAAUUCUCAAGCUUGGAAGCGUAGUCGGAGUGCCAGCCGACCCCGGAUCCGACCCGCUAACAUUAGUUUGUCUGUGGAGUGUCUAACUCUCUCCCUCGCCCAAUAUCAUGGGUGAAAGUGAGAGGGAAUAAAAGAAAAGAAAAGUCUAUUUCAUUUACUAAUUUUUGUGAGAGGGCUGUUUGCGUGUUUUGUAUGGAAAAGGAGUGGAAUCAGGGGCAAUCAUAUUAUUAAGUCAGAGAGGGGCAGGCCAUCAUAUUCUCAGCAAGCAUUUCCCUGUAUUGUAUAAAAGAGGAGUGUGUUCUUCCUCACUCCCGCAUUUCUCUUGUUUUCUUAUUCAGCUUCUUGGUGUCAUGGCAUCCAGCGGCACCAACAUGAACGCCGGAAAACAACAGAACAAAAGCGUGUGGAAGGAUGAGAUAGAAUGUCUAAUGUGUACGUGGAGUGGGACGGUGAAGGACGCAGUUUAUCACCAACGAGUCCACAAUGGAAAGUAUCAUACCUGCCCAACUUGCAAGGUGAAGUUCCCUUCAAAGAGGGACUUGUGGAUUCACCAAGAUGAGAGACAUGAUGAUGGUAGAUAGCUCACACCACACCAAGAGGAGAGACUAGCUCCAUCUGGGUGAGCCAUUUAUGUUUUUAUCAAAUAGUAAAUUAUGAACUUGUGUUAUGUUUGCUGGUUUGUGUUAUGUUUGCUGGUUUGUGUUAUGUUUGUUGGUUGGUUGGUUUGGUGAAUAUUACUUAUAUUUGAAAA